rnacentral:rRNA from 1 species
AAUGAACGCUGGCGGCGUGGAUAAGACAUGCAAGUCGAACGGAGAAUAACAUUAGUUUACUAAAGUUGUUCUUAGUGGCGGACGGGUUAGUAACACGUGAGCAACUUACCUCAAAGUGGGGGAUAGCCUUUCGAAAGGAAGAUUAAUACCGCAUGUGGUCCCUGGACCAAAGGCUGCUUCGGCAGUCGCUUUGAGAUAGGCUCGCGUCCUAUCAGUUAGUUGGUGAGGUAAUGGCUCACCAAGACUACGACGGGUAGCUGUUCUGAGAGGAAGAUCAGCAACACUGGAACUGAGACACGGUCCAGACACCUACGGGUGGCAGCAGUCGAGAAUCAUUCACAAUGGACGAAAGUCUGAUGGUGCAACGCCGCGUGGAGGAUGAAGGCCCUAGGGUCGUAAACUCCUGUCAUAGCAGAGUAAGGCAUAUUAGUUAAUAGCUGGUAUGUUUGAUAGUAUGCUAAGAGGAAGGGACGGCUAACUUCG